rnacentral:rRNA from 1 species
CAGUCGCCGCGGUAAAACAGAGGGUGCAAGCGUUAAUCGGAAUUACUGGGCGUAAAGCGCGCGUAGGUGGUUUGUUAAGUUGGAUGUGAAAUCCCCGGGCUCAACCUGGGAACUGCAUCCAAAACUGGCAAGCUAGAGUAUGGUAGAGGGUGGUGGAAUUUCCUGUGUAGCGGUGAAAUGCGUAGAUAUAGGAAGGAACACCAGUGGCGAAGGCGACCACCUGGACUGAUACUGACACUGAGGUGCGAAAGCGUGGGGAGCAAACAGGAUUAGAGACCCCCGUAGUCCCUGUCUCUUAUAC